CGUCAUAUCAUUCCAAAAAUGUCUUUCUUACAAAUCGCAAUACGUACUUAUUAGUAUGAUGUGUAUUAAUACAUAAUAACACCUAUUAUAAUGUUAAUAUUAGUACAGUCAGCGUACGAAAUCAUCAUUAUUUAUAUUGGCCAUACCACCUAUGGACUAGUCGAUUUUGCGAUCUUUUCAUUUACAUAAUCAUCUUCACCAAAGAUUAUUGAAACACUGAAGAUCGAUAUCGAUGAAUCGUUGACGCCAGUUUAUAUUUUAAUUUAGUGUGAACUGAUGGAUAAAUUCAUGUGUUUAAAAUCAAGGAGACGAGACGUGGAGUGGUUUCUAACUGGUUGGAUUGGCGGUUAAUACGUCGGGACCACUACAUACCAUUUGGCAUAGCUGUACAGUAUAUACACACGAUUGCUGCUGCUGCGGAUUCGCCACCGAUUUAAUAUCGGACUGCCACUUCCACGUGUCCAAAGUAAUUUAUAACUCGUUGUUUUCGAACCUUGCAACUUUGGCAGUCCCCUGUUCAUUGUUUCUACUUUCUUACGUCCAAGUCGUAAGUUGAAUACAAACUGGUCAAAAAAUAAGUCGAUGGGAUAUGAUCGUGUCCCGUGUCCGUGUAAAAGCAGAAUUCCGCGUAACGAAACAAGUAAAACCGCUUGCUCAAUCCACGUGUUGUACUUACCAAUAUAAUAUGUAUACAUGAAAUUCUGACACGUGAGCUGUAUCCUCGGGCCGUACACUAAGGAUAAUCCUAAUCUUGUUCCACGUGUAAAACUGAAGGGCGAUGACGUUGGAGAUAUACUCGGAAUUCCAAUGGAAAUGAUACAGAUAAAUCUAUAUUACUAGGUUAAGUUUCAAAGAUCUGGAAAAUAAGAGAAGCAAAAAAUAAAAACGUUUAGUUCAAUUUCGGAAGUUAAGCACUUAACAAAAUAAUUUGUUAAAAAUGUUCGAUAAAAAUAAUUAUUAAAAUUAAAACAAGCGAAAAACAAUAUAAUACUCGUCAAAUUAUGUCGUCCGAUAAUAUCGCUGAGUGGUGUACCGAAUGGUUUUUCAAUUUAUGACGUUGCAUAUUCUGUCCAAUUAUGCAAAUAUAUGACAUGCUGCUAACUUUUUUAUACAUGAAAAAUAAUUUAAGUAAAUAAGCAAAACAUCAUAAUAAACACAUUUCAAAUAAAAUGCUGCAUAAUUGCUAACCAAAUUAAAAUGUAUUUUAAUUAUAUCAGCAGUUUCAAUUAAAGCGUUUUUAGAAUAGUUAUGGUAAAACUUUACACGGUGUGAAAGUUUUUUUUACAAAAUCGAAUAGCCUUGUAUAACCAAAAAUAUGAUUUUUUGAAUAUGGAAUUUGACUUAACUGCAGCCAUCAGAAAUUAUGUUGUUCAGAAUUUUAAUAAUAUGAUCAGAGUAGAUGUAUGAAGACCAUACAAUUUAAGCAAUGAGGGUGAUUUUGAACACCCUCUAAAAAUAUUACCUGACCUUUUAUGUUAGCCAAAUUACAUGGUUCAGCAUUCUUGAAUUGACCUUAUUACAGUAUAAAUGGUAAACGACGCGUAAAAUGAUAUCAUUUGAAAAAUCAUUUCGAUUAUGUUUCAACGAAACUAAUGCAUACAUAUUAUAAUACAUACUACAAAUUACAAUAAUUGUUAAGUAAGAAUAAUAUUUUGAAAUCGGCGAAUUAUUUUUCAAUAUACAUAUUACAUAUACAAGAACAGAAAUUACACUGAUAUCUAAAAAUUAAUAAAAGUUUGAAAUAUGAAAUACAUUUUUAUAACAAAUAAUCAAGAAUAUUGAUUAUCAAUCCUAGUUAUCUAACAUACAGAGAAUAAUUGAAACAAUUU